rnacentral:ncRNA from 1 species
CCCCGACAUCCAGAGAGUGGCUGACGCCAACGCCAACCUGCCGACCGGGGCAAGGUGGUUUGCUCCCCUUCGAUCCACAAGAGCACGAAGGGGGCGAUGGGGCUCUAAGCGAGCAAUCCAACCGGAAAAG